rnacentral:rRNA from 1 species
ACACACGGAUAACAUACCGAAAGGUAUGCUAAUACGGGAUAAUAUAUUUGAGAGGCAUCUCUUAAAUAUCAAAGGUGAGCCAGUACAGGAUGGACCCGCGUCUGAUUAGCUAGUUGGUAAGGUAACGGCUUACCAAGGCGACGGUCAGUAGCCGACCUGAGAGGGUGAUCGGCCACAUUGGAACUGAGACACGGUCCAAACUCCUACGGGAGGCAGCAGUGGGGAAUAUUGCACAAUGGGCGAAAGCCUGAUGCAGCAACGCCGCGUGAGUGAUGAAGGCCUUCGGGUCGUAAAACUCUGUCCUCAAGGAAGAUAAUGACGGUACUUGAGGAGGAAGCCCCGGCUAACUACGUGCCAGCAGCCGCGGUAAUACGUAGGGGGCUAGCGUUAUCCGGAUUUACUGGGCGUAAAGGGUGCGUAGGCGGUCUUUCAAGUCAGGAGUGAAAGGCUACGGCUCAACCGUAGUAAGCUCUUGAAACUGGGAGACUUGAGUGCAGGAGAGGAGAGUGGAAUUCCUAGUGUAGCGGUGAAAUGCGUAGAUAUUAGGAGGAACACCAGUUGCGAAGGCGGCUCUCUGGACUGUAACUGACGCUGAGGCACGAAAGCGUGGGGAGCAAACAGGAUUAGAUACCCUGGUAGUCCACGCUGUAAACGAUGAGUACUAGGUGUCGGGGGUUACCCCCUUCGGUGCCGCAGCUA